rnacentral:ncRNA from 1 species
UACAGAGGCGCGGUUUUCAUGAGUAGCGUCCGGCUGGCUGCCAAGCCAUACGCUGGGGGUGAAAGGGGCAACCGCCGAAGGACGUGUUCGGCAACCACGUACCUGGCUUCAACGCCGAAAGGCCUGAAGCUGUCAUGCCCCACAGGGCAUGGUGCGCUGU